rnacentral:rRNA from 1 species
GACGAACGCUGGCGGCGUGCUUAACACAUGCAAGUCGAACGAAGUCUCGAACGGGUGAGUAAUUCGUUAGUAACUUGUCCUCCUUUUUGGGAUAAGCUUUGGAAACGGGGUCUAAUACCCUAUAAAGGAGGAGGGGCUCGCGGCCUUUCCGCUUGUUGGUGGGGUGAUGGCCUAACAAGGCGGUGACGGGUAGCCGGCCUGAUCGGAUGACCUGCCACAUAGGGACUGAGAUCAGGCCCAGACGACGACGGGGGACAGCAGUGGGGGAUAUUGGAGAAUGGGCGAAAGCCUAAUGCAGCGGCGGCGCGUGGGGGAUGAAGGCUUUCGUGUUCUAAACCUCUUUCGCUACCGAACGGGUAGGUGGAGAAGAAGCGCCGGCUAACUACGUGCCAGCAGCCGCGGUAAUUC